GCGUUCUUGAUGUGAUGGUUAGCAUGGAUGCCUUCCGAGCAUUGGACAGAGAUUCGAUUCCACCCGAAAGCA